ACAUGCAAGUCGAACGAUGAACCACUUCGGUGGGGAUUAGUGGCGAACGGGUGAGUAACACGUGGGCAAUCUGCCCUGCACUCUGGGACAAGCCCUGGAAACGGGGUCUAAUACCGGAUAAUACCUGCUGAGGCAUCUUGGCGGGUUGAAAGCUCCGGCGGUGCAGGAUGAGCCCGCGGCCUAUCAGCUUGUUGGUGGGGUGAUGGCCUACCAAGGCGACGACGGGUAGCCGGCCUGAGAGGGCGACCGGCCACACUGGGACUGAGACACGGCCCAGACUCCUACGGGAGGCAGCAGUGGGGAAUAUUGCACAAUGGGCGAAAGCCUGAUGCAGCGACGCCGCGUGAGGGAUGACGGCCUUCGGGUUGUAAACCUCUUUCAGCAGGGAAGAAGCGCAAGUGACGGUACCUGCAGAAGAAGC
rnacentral:rRNA from 1 species